GACGUAGGGCGCGAGCGUUGUCCGGAUUUAUUGGGCGUAAAGAGCUCGUAGGCGGCUCGUUGCGUCGGCUGUGAAAACCCGCAGCUCAACUGUGGGCUUGCAGCUGAUACGGGCGGGCUUGGAUUCGGUAGGGGAGACUGGAAUUCCUGGUGUAGCGGUGAAAUGCGCAGAUAUCAGGAGGAACACCGGUGGCGAAGGCGGGUCUCUGGGCAAUAACUGACGCUGAGGAGCGAAAGCGUGGGGAGCGAACAGG
rnacentral:rRNA from 1 species